rnacentral:rRNA from 1 species
UACGUAGGACCCGAGCGUUGUCCGGAUUUACUGGGCAUAAAGGGUGCGUAGGCGGUCUUGUGCGUCAGAGGUGAAAUCUCCGGGCUUAACCCGGAGGGUGCCUUCGAUACGGCAGGACUUGAGUGCGGGAGAGGGUGAUGGAAUUCCUGGUGUAGCGGUGAAAUGCGUAGAUAUCAGGAGGAACACCGGUGGCGAAGGCGGUCACCUGGCCCGUAACUGACGCUGAGGCACGAAAGCGUGGGGAUCAAACAGG